rnacentral:rRNA from 1 species
AUUGAACGCUGGCGGAAUGCUUUACACAUGCAAGUCGAACGGCAGCACGGACUUCGGUCUGGUGGCGAGUGGCGAACGGGUGAGUAAUGUAUCGGAACGUGCCCAGUCGUGGGGGAUAACGUAGUGAAAAUUACGCUAAUACCGCAUACGAUCUAUGGAUGAAAGCGGGGGAUCGCAAGACCUCGCGCGAGUGGAGCGGCCGAUAUCAGAUUAGGUAGUUGGUGGGGUAAAGGCCCACCAAGCCAACGAUCUGUAGCUGGUCUGAGAGGACGACCAGCCACACUGGAACUGAGACACGGUCCAGACUCCUACGGGAGGCAGCAGUGGGGAAUUUUGGACAAUGGGCGAAAGCCUGAUCCAGCCAUUCCGCGUGCAGGAUGAAGGCCCUCGGGUUGUAAACUGCUUUUGUACAGAACGAAAAGGUUUCUACUAAUACUAGGAGCUCAUGACGGUACUGUAGAAUAAGCACCGGCUAACUACGUGCCAGCAGCCGCAGUAA